UCAAGAAACUUCCACAAUGGGCGAAAGCCUGAUGGAGCGACGUCGCGUGAUGGACGAAGUGCUUCGGCACGUAAACAUCUUUUAUGUGGGAUGAAAUUAUUGACAGUACCACAUGAAUAAGGGGCUCCUAACUCUGUGCCAGCAGGAGCGGUAAUACAGAGGCCCCAAGCGUUAUCCGGAAUCACUGGGCGUAAAGGGUGUCGAGGCGGUUGUAUUAGUCGUUCGUAAAAUCUACGAGCUUAACUUGUAGGCGGCGAACGAAACGGUACGACUUGAGGUUUGGAGAGGUGCGUGGAACUCACGGUGUAGGGGUGAAAUUCGUUGAUAUCGUGGGGAACACCAAAGGCGAAGGCAGCGCACUGGCCAAAAUCUGACGCUCACACACGAAAGCUAGGGUAGCGAAGAGGAUUAGAUACCCCAGUAGUCCCUGAGCGGGCUGGCAAGGCGCAU
rnacentral:rRNA from 1 species